rnacentral:tRNA from 1 species
AGAGACUUAGGCUAAAACCUAGACCAAGGGCCUUCAAAGCCCUCAGCGGAGGUGAGAAUCCUCCAGUCCCUG